rnacentral:piRNA from 1 species
UCAUGUCAGAUCACAGCAACAAGUAAC